AAGGAUUUAAGUUAAAUAAACUAUUAACCUUCAAAGUUAAAAAUGGGAUAGAUACCAAGCCUUA
rnacentral:tRNA from 1 species